rnacentral:Y_RNA from 1 species
UGACCGUCCAAUGGUAGUUAUUAGAAUUUAUUAAUAUUAGUGUCACUAAAGUUGGUAUACAGCCCCCCACUGCUAAAUUUGACUGGCUUAA